ACUGAACGCUGGCGGCAUGCCUUACACAUGCAAGUCGAACGGUAACAGGUCUUCGGAUGCUGACGAGUGGCGAACGGGUGAGUAAUACAUCGGAACGUGCCUAGUAGUGGGGGAUAACUACUCGAAAGAGUGGCUAAUACCGCAUGAGAUCUACGGAUGAAAGCAGGGGAUCGCAAGACCUUGUGCUACUAGAGCGGCCGAUAGCAGAUUAGGUAGUUGGUGGGAUAAAAGCUUACCAAGCCGACGAUCUGUAGCUGGUCUGAGAGGACGAUCAGCCACACUGGGACUGAGACACGGCCCAGACUCCUACGGGAGGCAGCAGUGGGGAAUUUUGAACAAUGGGCGAAAGCCUGAUCCAGCAAUGCCGCGUGCAGGAUGAAGGCCUUCGGGUUGUAAACUGCUUUUGUACGGAACGAAAAGCCCCGGGUUAAUACCCUGGGGUCAUGACGGUACCGUAAGAAUAAGCACCGGCUAACUACGUGCCAGCCGCCGCCGUAA
rnacentral:rRNA from 1 species